rnacentral:lncRNA from 1 species
GUGGGGGUCCCAUAAUGAGGGUGGGGGUCCCAUAAUUAGGGUGGGGGUCCCAUAAUGAGGGUGGGGGUCCCAUAAUUAGGGUGGGGGUCCCUUUAUUGGGUGGGGGUCCCAUAAUGAGGGUGGGGGUCCCAUUAUUGUUGGGGUCCCAUUAAUUAGGGUGGCAUCCCAUAAUUAGGGUGGGGGUCCCAUAAUGAGGGUGGGGAUCCCAUAUUAGGGUGGGGGUCCCAUUAAUUAAUGAGGGUGGGGGUCCCAUUAAUUAAUGAGGGUGGGGGUCCCAUAUACCGUUGCUGUGCCCCACAUGUAUGACUCCACUAUUGGGGUUCUGGGCCAUGGCCGCCGGGCGCCCCCCCCUGGUACAAAUGGCCGCCACCUCCGACCCCACGGACACGUCCAGGUACUGCAGGUAACCCCCCGAGUUCUGGGGGGGCAACGGGGGCACCCAUAAGCACCCAUGGGAUCCUAUGGGCUCCUAUGGGAUCCUAUGGGAUCAUAUGGGGCGCCCAUGGGCACCUAUGGGCUCCUAUGGGAUCCUAUGGGCUCCUAUGGGAUCCUAUGGGCUCCUAUGGGAUCAUAGGGGAUCAUAUGGGAUCCUAUGGGCACCUAUGGGCUCCUAUGGGGGUCCAUUGACUUCUAUGGAAUCCUAUGGGCUCCUAUGGGAUCCUAUGGGGUCCUAUGGGAUCCUAUGGGCUCCUAUGGGAUCCUAUGGGCACCUAUGGGAUCCUAUGGGAUCCUAUGAGCACCUAUGGGAUCCUAUGGGCACCUGCAGGUAACCCCCCGAGUUCUGGGGGGGCAACGGGGGAACCCAUAAGCACCCAUGGGAUCAUAGGGGGUCAUAUGGGAUCAUAUGGGGUCCUAUGGGGUCCUAUGGGAUCAUAUGGGAUCCUAUGGGAUCCUAUGGGAUCAUAUGGGAUCAUAUGGGAUCAUAUGGGCACCUGCAGGUAACCCCCCGAGUUCUGGGGGGGCAACGGGGGAACCCAUAAGCACCCAUGGGAUCAUAGGGGAUCAUAGGGGAUCCUAUGGGUGCCCAUUGACUUCUAUGGGCUCCUAUGGGCACCUAUGGGAUCAUAUGGGAUCCUAUGGGGGCCCAUUGACUUCUAUGGGCUCCUAUAGGCUCCUAUGGGCACCCAUCAAGCACCCAUGGGAUCAUAUGGGAUCAUAUGGGCACCCAUGGGAUCAUAUGGGCUCCUAUGGGCACCUAUGGGCACCUAUGGGCUCCUAUGGACACCUAUGGGCUCCUAUGGGCACCUAUGGGAUCCUAUGGGCACCCAUCAGCACCCAUGGGAUCCUAUGGGCACCCAUUGACUCCCAUUGGCACCCAUGGGUGCUCAUUGACACCCAUUGACUCCCAUUGAUACCCAUUGACUCCCAUUGACACCCAUUGACUCCCAUUGACUCCCAUUGACUCCCAUUGACUCCCACUGACUCCCAUUGACACCCAUUGACUCCCAUUGACUCCCAUUGACACCCAUUGACUCCCAUUGACUCCCAUUGGCACCCAUCUGACUCGCCAUUGGUACUCCUAUAUGACACCCAUUGACUGCCAUUGACUCCCAUUGACACCCAUUGACUCCCAUUGACUCCCCAUUGGCACCCAUUGAACUCCGCAAUGACACCCAUUGAACCUCCCAAUUGACACCAUUAACCGUCAUUGACUCCUCAUAUCCCCCCCAUAUUCCCCCGCCCAUAUCCCCAUUCCCAUAUCUCCCCCCAUAUCUCCCCCCAUAUCCCAUCCCAUAUCCCCAUCCCAUAUCCCCCCUAUAUAGGCCCCCAUAACCCCCCUUAAUAUCCCCACCACCAUAUCUCCCCCUUAUAUCCCAUCCCAUAUCCCCAUCCCAUAUCCCCCCUAUAAUGCCCCCAUAAACCCUCCCAUAUCCCCAUCCAUAAUCUCCCCGCAUAUCCCACCCAUAUCUCCCCCCAUAUCCCCAUCCCAUAUCUCCCCCCAUAUCCCCACCCCAUAUCUCCCCCCAUAUCCCCACCCCAUAUCUCCCCAUAUCCCACCCCAUAUCUCCCCCCAUAUCCCCAUCCAUAUCUCCCCCCAUAUCCCACCACCAUUAAUCUCCCCCAAUAUCCCCACCCCAUAUCUCCCGGCCCCAUAUCCCCACCCAUAUCU